CUAUGCCAGAGAAAAUUGACCAAGACAAGGAGACGGUCUCAGGCAUAAUAUUAAGGGACAAGAAGCAAAAGUCAGGAAUUCCUUUUGAAUAUAGAAGAUGACUGUGGAAUGAGGCCUCCGAGGUAGUGUGGUUUACUAGAAGAAGCAGAGUCACGAGCUGUGGAAAGUGGGCAAUGAUGGAGAGCCCCUGAUUGUCUGUCCCUUUGUGAUUGCAAAGGACCAAGGAGUUUUGGGCGCAACGCUACUCUUCUGUGGCCACAUUAGCAAGCCUCUGAAAAUAGAAUGAGACCCCCUCCACAAGACCACACAUCUUUGUUUUGUGCACAGCUAUAUCCCUAUUACGGGCUGAACUGCAUCCUCUCCCAAAUUCAUAUGUUGAAGUCCUAACUGCCAGUACCACAGAAUAUGACUGUAUCUGGAGGGAGGCCUUUAAAGAGGUAAUUAAGAUAAAAUGAGAUCCUGUGGGUGAGCCUUAAUCCAAUAGGACUGAUGCCCUUAUAAGAAAAAGAAAUUAGGAUGCAGACACGUGUAGAGGGAAGACGUGUGAAGACAUAGGGACAAGACGGGUAUCUACAAGCCAAAGAGAGAGCCCUCUGAAGGAACCAACCCUGCCAACACCUUGACUUCCAACUUCCAGCC